GGUCAUGCAAGUUUGUAAGUACUAUUAAGUUCUGGAUGAUACGAUGUAAUAAAGUAUUUUCGACCGUUGUUUCCAUGUAUUAAAUCUUGAAACUGUGUGCGCUAGUGAGUCGAUCCAGGGACUAGCACAAAUAAGCACAGAGAUCGAACCCUGUAAGGGGGAGGAUCGCUUCACUCUCAACCCUGACUCACCGCACAACCCUGCAGUUUUAUGAUCUGUAACGUCCCAAAAUUUUCAAACUUUUACAUACGCAUUGCAUCCAUGAGCAUCAUGCCACAAUUGCAUUCUUGAUUUCAAAUUUGAAUCUCAAAAGGCUUUAAAAGAUUUUAUUUCAAUUUAAACCCUAGGGUUUACACCCAUUUGAGCCUUGCAUUUUCUAACCAAUAGGGUUUAACUAUAAAUGGGGUCUAUUGCAUAUAUGAGCUAUCCCAUAAUUUUUAAGGUCUUGUUUGGAGUUCAAAAAGUAUUUUAUUUAAAUAGUUAUAUAGCCCUAAAUGCAUUUAUAGGGCAAAUGUAUUUUUAGAUAUUUUAUUUUGAAGGGAAAUUACUCCCAAAAGUUGAAUCCUGAUAGAACAUGAUUUUACAAAUUUUCUAGAAUUUUUUUGGACCAAUUUGGAGUUCAAAAUCAAAAGUUAUCAAAGAAAUAAGAAAAACAGAAAAAGAAAAGGCUAAAAGAAAAAAAAAGGAAAACCGGACCGGCCCGACCGUUUUGGGCCGAACUGGCCCUGCAACGCCCGAGCCAGCCCGCACCGGACUGGGCCGGCGCGCGCCCGACCGUGAGGAGCCACC
rnacentral:lncRNA from 1 species